AGCCCCCCCUCCUCAGAUCCAAGCUCUCAGCAGUCCUGGCUGAAGUAGCCUGGGGACAAGACAGCAGCAGGAACAGAAAGACGGGCAUGAGGACAGAGUGCUGGAGAUUCUGAGCCUGAUCCAGCAGCGCGAGCUCGCGCGCGCCGACGAGCACAUCCUGGAGCUGGAGGCCGAAGAGCUGGCGUCG
rnacentral:lncRNA from 1 species